UACGAAGGGCGCGAGCGUUGUCCGGAAUUAUUGGGCGUAAAGAGCUCGUAGGCGGCCUGUUGCGUCCGCUGUGAAAGCCCGGGGCUUAACCCCGGGUCGGCAGUGGAUACGGGCAGGCUAGAGGUAGGUAGGGGAGAAUGGAAUUCCCGGUGUAGCGGUGAAAUGCGCAGAUAUCGGGAGGAACACCGGUGGCGAAGGCGGUUCUCUGGGCCUUACCUGACGCUGAGGAGCGAAAGCGUGGGGAGCGAACAGG
rnacentral:rRNA from 1 species